GUCUGGCAGUUUAUGUUUUAAUUUAGAAAUGUGAUUUACAUUAGAAGGUGGACAAGAUAUAGGUAAAGUAAGAACAACUGGUAUAUCAUCACUUCCAUAAGAAUUGUCAAGUACACUCCAGGAUAGCAGUGAGGCCAAACUUGGAGAGCAAAGUGACAACAAGUCAGGAGCACUGAGGCUUUCAUGGGGACCAGUAUGUCGAGUUAGAGUUCCAUUGUUCAAUAUACAUACAUUAUGAGAGUCUAAAAUAUCUGUCAUCAAUUCACCAUAAUUAGUGUUAGAACUGCCCCAUGAUUGAUUUUGACAGUUGAAAUCACCAAGUACUAAAAAUGGGCCAGGUAAGGUAGCAAGUAAUUGACUAAACUCAUUAUAUAAAACAGAAGAAGGGUGAGGUAUAUACACAGAUAUUAUACAAAUUUUAUUUACAAUCACAGCAAUGGCAUUAAUGCCAUCACUGAGAGUAGGGAGUGAAAAAAUCUUAUAUGAGAAAGAUUUACUAAUAAGUAUGGCCACUCCGCCAUACCCAUCAAGUCUAUCAUUUCUCACAGUGACAAAACCAGAAAUCCUAAAAGAAAACUCUGGUUAAACCAUGUCUCAGAGAGACACAUAGCCAUAGCUUUAUAUUUAUUUAGUAAGUAAAUAAUAUCAGUUUUUUUGCUUAUUACACUCCUGCAGUUCCACUGAAGGAUUUUGUGGUCCAUAAUUAAAGAUUUGGUUUAAAGAUGUCAAUAAUGAAUUGGCAGCGUUGGACGGUAAAUAGUUAUCAUUAGAGAAUGAAUUACUAGAAUUAGAAAGUAAUUUAAUAAGUUCCAAAAUUAAUUCUGCAAUUGAUUGUUGUGGAAUUGUAUUUGAUCUCUGUUUCAACACACAACCAUCAGAUUGGGGAGGGGAAGAAGCUACUACAUCAUUAUAAGGUUUUGAAGAUGGGGGAUGGAUUUUAGCUGCCUCUGCAUAUGAUAUGCAACUCUGGGCCAUUGAAACUUUAAUUUUUUGUUGUCUAGCGAAUUCUGGACAUAGCUUACUAGUGGCAAAGUGACAACCAGUGCAGUGGAGACAGUGAGCAUUUUCAGAGACAAUAGCACAAGUGUCUGAGGGGUGUUCAUCCCCACAUUUAAAGCAAUGUGACUUUGACCUGCAUUGUAUUUUAGUGUGACCAAAUUUGCAGCAAUUAUAGCACUGGAUGGUAGGAAAAAUGUAUAAUUCAACAGGAAGAGAUGUAUAGCACAUGAAAACCCUUUUAGGUAAAAUUUGACCAUCAAAGGUUAAUACAACCAUGUUGGUAUUAGAAAAUAAGGUAGUACCAUCAGUAACAUUUUUUCUUUUAAUUUGUCUCACUUUUAAUAUUUGUCCACAUCCUAUAGGAA